rnacentral:rRNA from 1 species
CACCGCCCGUCACACCAUGGGAGUUGGUUUCACCCGAAGGCAGUGCGCUAACCGCAAGGGAGGCAGCUGACCACGGUGGGGAUCAGCGACUGGGGUG